UUACCUCAAGACAUGCUGUACUCAAGGGCUCCAUGUUUUACUCUGACAGUGCUCCUCUUGAAAUCAGCCUUCAUUGAUUCUGAUAGCAGAUGAUAGUGCUGGAUGAUGUUGUUACAUGUAAUUAUGGAUUUGAAGUACAGAAUUACUUCAUGUAAUUAAUUUUCUCUUUUUUUCUGGUUUCCUCAGAAAGCCCAUGCUCUAGAAAUAUGAUGCCAAACUCUUUCAUCAUGAAAGUGGCAUAGUUUAGCUACAGCCUAGGCUCUGGGAAAUCACUGGUUAUUGUAUUCCGCUGUCCUCAAUCAAGAAGAGCAACACCUUUACUACAAAACUGGUCACACUGGAACAAAUAAGGGUGAUACUAUGCAUUUCUUACAAAUUCUGGUCUGGAGAUGAGGACCUGCAUUUGUUAAGGGGAACAGAUACUGGCUUGUAUUUCAAUGCUGAGUAGAGAAGAGGUUGCUUGGUUUAGAAGGAGGAAGUUCGUGGACAGUGUGAACUGAUCAGUUCAUCGGCUAGAAUAGUGUAGUGAGGAUGUUUCUGUACUCCUGAGUGGUUUUUGAAUCUCCCUCUGGCCAUGCAGUGUUGCCAUUAAAGCUGUAGCGUAACCUCUGCUUGUCAUGUCUGAGCUCCCUCUGGUGUGGAGAGAACAGGUACUGCUUGCACAGAUGUGAACAAAAGACGACUUGAGGGGUAAUUUUAAUUUUGUUGGUGCUUAUUCAAAUGUUAUUCAUUCUGGUCAUACUGGCUGUGUGCACAAAUCCUAGUUAGGACUGCUGGCUCGCAAACGUACAAGUAUUAGGGUUAGUGAACAUUGUUUUGCUUCCAGGGAUGCCCAAGGAUGUUAGGAGAGGUGGCCAAGGCCAUGGAGAAUUUGAUACGCAAAAUAUACAGAGACCUGAUCUCACAUUAAUCAUAACAACCACAAGCAACCUGACGCUUUACUGUUAUACAGUAGGAACCUGGCAGCAACCUUUGUGAUUCACAAGUAAUCUGUCAUAAGCCCCUAUUUUAUACUGCUCGUAACCAUUAGGUCUUAAAGAGUGUGUUUGCCCCGGACUGAAUAUUUUCAACUCAAUUAUCGUCAUAAGUGUUAACUAGAAAUUACUGUGCCAUAAUCACAUCUGGGAUACAAAAUUUUGUUGAAAUAGGUUUGGGGGAAUAAUUGCUGGAAAUUCACCAUUCUUUCCACAGUAUUUAUUUGUUGUGAAAUUCAUCCGUUUUGAUGACAUUCCAAGAGCUGUAUAAUCCUUAGGGCGCUAAUUUGCAAGUGUGGUAUGCCAUAGACUAAAGAUUUUCUGUACCAAAUCUGAACAGAAGCUUUGUUUGAUAUUUUUUUCUUUUUCUUUCUUUUUUUUUUUUUUUUUUGGACAGCCUAGUAUUUCAGGUUUAGCAUAGUGGCAUUGCAAAUGUUAAUGUACCUCAACUGGUAUUUACAGCACUGCUCAGCAGUGUAAUUCAUCAUAUAAGCAUAGAAUUCUACCUUUGAGAAAAAAAAAAAAAAGAGUAUAAGUGCUUAGAUCACAUACACUCCAACAGAAAUAGGACAUCCAUGUAAUAAUAGAAAAAAAGAUGUGUGAAUUCAUCCUAAGGAUAAGUGGGUACAGCUCUAUUGAAGCGAGUGGUCUUUUCAUAUAAGUGGAGUUGCACAUGUUUUCUCCGGGGAUCAGUUCAGUCCACUUUGCCUUUGUAGUCUGUGCUGAAAUUCUUCAAGAUAGGAAAAAACUUGUGGAGUAUUUGCAUGUACUAAGUGCCUGGCAUAGAUCAGAGUCUUUAUUUUUCACUUUUGCUAGCAGUACAAUCACUUAAAAUUAAAGAAAAAAAAUAAAACAAGUAAUUAAUCCUGUACGAAUGUUCAAACAUUCUGUUACUAAGAGUUAUAUUCUCCCCCCAGACUUAGGACUUCCUCUGUGCACGGUCCAAGAAGGCUAGUAAAAGUCCUUUCCAGGAAAAUACAAUUUUCAAGUACUGUGAUUGUGCUAUGAUACUCGCUCUACCUGAAUCUUUUUAGAUAACAGGCAUCAUGCUGUCUUUGGUUUAUUUAUCUGUGAUCGAAGAGCAGGGGAACUAGGAGAAGCAGUCAAGGAACAUAUUAAGGGGGUACGCACUGUUUGUGGUAGUAAGAUCAAGCAGAACUUGUGAGGAGAUGAAUUUUCUUCAUCUAGAAAUUCAGCUGUGCUCAAAAUAAGAUUCACCCUCACAAAGGGGAAAGAACAAUCUGGAAAAUCUCUCUCCUCCUCACCCCCUUGAAAGGGCAGCCUGAUAUUGGUUUAAAGGUAUGAGCUGGGACUCUGGAUAUUUUUCCAAGGUCUUUUGCAGGCCAGUCUAAGAUCAUCCUGUCCACAGUCCAAGCUGGCUAGCAUCCAGCCAGCUCCCAUCCCAAAUCUGCGUAGCUCUAUUAGUGCAGAGCUGUGUCCACUCCAUUAAAUCUUCCGAGAGUCCCUAAGCCUCGUUUGCAAAAAUCUGGAUAGACAUUCCCCAGAAUUAGUUCAAUAUCCAGCACUGGCACCAUUUCACUGUGAAACCUUGGAAAAAGUGCCUCGAGCCAGAUUUUAAACACGCAGAGCCAUCCCAGAGCCCACUGUUAAAAUGCCACUGAUCUUUUAAGAGACACUGCUCAGUUGCAAUCUCUGUUUUUGCCAGAGGGUAUAUAUAAAGCCACUCAAACUUUGACACUGCCUCUCAGGGAGGCUGUGGAUGUACUUGUGCAUUAACCCAUAAGUACAGGCACUCUCUUUCUGAUCCGGUAGAGAAGUAGUUAUUUAUACAAACUGACACGACACAAUUAGGAUCAAUCAUCCUCAGGAUACCCAGUGCCUCAGUGGCUGGGAUAUUUCCUGAGCUGUGGGAAAGGUGUCCUCUAGAUGUUACAAAUUUGAUAGAAACAAUCAAAAUAAAAUCUUUAACUGCCCUGAGGGUUGCUUUGGUGAUAAAGUUAGUGCCUGGUGAGAUGUCUAAUGCUCUCCCAUCCACUUUAUUACAGAUAGGAAGUGCAAAGUUCAGCUGCCAGGAUCCUCAGGAGGGACAUCCUACCUGGGCUGACAGAAGUGCUUGUUUUCCACCUCACAGGUUUCUCAAAUGGUGGGUCAGCUUUGCUUGUGUUUAUUAUUCUGAAAGCAACCAUAAGGGGCAGCAAAGCCCAAAGGGAUGAAGAAACGUGGUGAAUUCUGCUAUGAUUUACAUGGAACUCUGUAAGACAGAGGUGCAGAGUUUUAUGCAGUCAGGUAUGCGUGGGUUUUAAGGAGAUGAAGAAACCUUUGAAAUGACCCGCUUUUGUGAAAUUUGGCUUUUCUUUCCUGUGGUGGCCUUUGUCCUGAAGAGCAAGACAUUUCACAGCGAAUAGCAGGGACAUAUUGAAGAGGAGAUGGGAUGAAGAAGCAGCCAGAUUUUUCCUUCAGCCUCGCUGGAAAGCAGCUAUGAAAGGAGAAACAAAGGCUGUGGCUGGCCACACCUCGUGAGGACGGCAGCACCAAAGGGGCCGUGGCAAGCUCCAGCUCUCCCCUCCCUACACCAGGCACUGGUGCAGAGCGCGGCUUGCCCGGCUCGGGCAUUGUAAUUCUGCUACUGCCGCGCGUGCCAUCAGAAUUCAGCUGUCAUAUUCUGCGAGCUGGAAUUCAUCAAAGCAUACUCACCGGCCUUUUAAUUAGUGUUAGAUUAGCAUUUUAAGAUAUGGGUAAAUUCCCAAGUCUAACUUCGUUUAAAGGUGCAUAUUCAAUACAGUAGCCAGGAAAUCAUGUAUUCUCAUGGACUUACUACCUUAGUAAUGUAAUGCUGUGAGGGAAAGAGGCAGAUAAUACUUCCGACAAAUAUUAAAUGCUAUUUGUAUAGCUACUGCCUGUGAAUUUAAACAGAAAAUCAUUCCUCACGCCUUGCUAUGAAACACACGCAAAUUUCUUUUGUGGCUUUCAUGUUUCAUUAAAGCUUUGUAUGUGGAAGAGAGGAAAAUCUAAAUUGCUACUUAAUUAAAGGGAUACUGUCAGAUUAAGUAUAUUUUGAGGAAAUGAACUUUGCUUUUUACCUGGGAUGUCAGUAACACCUAGGAUUAUUAAAAAUGAAAUAUUUUUUAAUAUCUAAUAUACUUACCAUUUAUCAACCUGAGUCUGUUCUUCUCUUUGGCUGAAACUGAAACAGUCUCUUGCUUUUCCCUGUAGUCAGGUUCAUUGUCUGGAUCCUAUUAACUAACUCAAUAUUGGAGAUUGUAAAUACCAGGAGGUGCAGCUUACAUCUAAACCAAAAAUAAAAAAUAAAAUAAAAUAAAUGUAUGGCUCUUGCUUUAUUCCAUUAAAAUAUUUCUCUGGACCCAAACAUCAUGUAAUAUAUGCUCCUUUAAUCACAUUUUGAUCACCACACAGCAUGUGGAGUGUGGGUUAAAUUCUGGAGAAUGCUGAGCAGGGUUUUGUGUGAACUUUCCACUCUCUCUGAAGGCAGAAGGUGCUAGGGUCGCUCACCAGCAACGGAAAGGGGUCCGAGAGCUAUGCUGCAAGGUGCGGAUGUGUAAGAGCCCAGUCCCACUC